rnacentral:tRNA from 1 species
CAGGGAAUAGUUUAUUGAAAAUGUUAGCUUUGGAGGCUGAUGAUAGGAUUAUUUUCUUUUCCUUGA